rnacentral:lncRNA from 13 species
GGUUUCUCUCAUCCAAUCAGAACAUGAAAAACACUCCUUAGCGGGGGAUGUUGUCUUGCCAUGUCAGGCUCUUCUGGAUUGGCCGAUCUAGCUGCUCGUGCCCCGGCUUAGCCGAGAAAGAAGAGAAAUCACCUGUCUCUCAUGCUGGAGCCUGGCGCUUGCAGUACCGUGGCUUGCCUCUCUGUUGCGCUGUUGCGGUUGGUGACAGCAAGGGAGACUACAGGGCAGCCGAAAAGACUCCCUACUCUAGAGAGUCAUCUCCUCCAGCAAGAGGGUACUGGGCUUGCAAUGUUUCCGCGGGAAUCCUGAGCAGGGCAGGGAGCCCAGACCCGUCGUGGUUCCCAGGCUUUUCUGGCUUUGCCCACCAGCUGUUCGGUGCCAGGAGAAGGAAGGAGCCACCUGCCACAUGCUAGAGGCUAGAGCCUGUGGCACCACGGCUCACCUCACUGCAGUUGGUGACAGCCAUGGAAACUGCAGAGCGCUGGAGGAGUAGGAAGGUUGCUGGCUGCCGCCAGGGCGGGCGCAGGGCUGUGGUGGUGGCCAGAUGGUAGGAGUCUUGUAUGAUGGGUCGCUGUGUUUAGGGUGACCACUUAGGGUGACCACCACGCCCAGUUAAUUUUAGUAGAGACAGCGUUUGGCCAUGUUGGCCAGGCUGGUCUCGAACUCCUGAACUCAAGUGAUCCACCCACCUUGGCCUCCCAAAGUGUUGGGAUUACAGGCAUGAGCCAUCACACCUGGCCCCACCUAUGACUCCUAAUCAGUCAAUGUGUGUUCAGAGAGGUGAACCAAAUCAAUCACAGAGGUGAGUUAAUUUGCCCAAACCAAUUCACAGAGGUGAGUUAAUUUGCCCAAAUCACCACUUCCAUGGAAGUAAGAUUUAAGAUUUGAAUACUAGCACUUUAAGAUGAAAACAAUGAAAUGGUACAUUCUAAAAGCAGUCUAUAAUGCUGCACACCCACAAAGCCAGCUCCGGCCUCAUGGAACAAGAGAGGACACAGCAUACCCCAGAAAGCAAUUCAGAACUGGGUGCAAGUACCUAAAUGAGGACCUGGGCCAGUCCUGGACAGUGAGAAGAGGUCGCGUCCGUUCCAAAACACAUUGUGGUCAUCUGUUAUUUAUGAUUGCAUGUCAUGUAUUUGAAUAAACUCAGGAUCAAUAACUUUAGUAAGCUGAGU